rnacentral:misc_RNA from 1 species
AAGUCGUAACAAGGUAACCGUAGGUGAACCUGCGGUUGGAUCAUUACAAAAAACAUAUACCUUAAAAAGGGGAGGAUUCAUUUUCUCCUUGCUUUAUUGUAUUUAACAUCAAUACUUCACAUCAAUUGCGCAAGCAAACGAUGAGAAAAACCACACAUAAUGUGAAAUGUUUCUGUCUCUGGCGAGCGGGCAGCCUAAACAACUGCUUGUCAGCAGGAUUCCCCCCCUGGGGUUCCUGCCGUGGACAACUCGUCAACCCCUUCUAUUUAACAUUUGCUGUACCUAGUUUGUCUGACAUUA